GCCUUCGUGGUGUAGUGGUCAGCGCGCUCCGCGCGUAUUCGAGAGGUACGUGGUUCGAAUCCCGGCGAGGGCA
rnacentral:tRNA from 1 species